rnacentral:lncRNA from 1 species
GUUUUUUUGGAAGGGCAAACUGGUUCUGACAUGAAUCUCUCAGAAAAAUGAACCUGAAAGCUAGAGACCUUAGGUGACUCCUUCUUUUGUUAGUCAGUAAAAACCCAAUUCCAAUCCCUCUGGAGAAAUACAGUUGUAGAAAUAAGAGUGGAGACAUAAACAUACUUAGUGAUACUGCUUAGUAGGAUCCAACUAAUUGUAGAGGAAGAAAGCUUCAAACAUAGAAAUGCUUGUGUGGAGCAGGUGAAGGAUUUACUCUUUCCUUGUUCCCCUUUUUGUCCUUCCCUGUUUCUGUCUGCAGAUGAAAAGCACCUUCCUGAAACUUAUUAGAAGCCUGGUAGCGAAUGUGUUUCCUAGUCUGCCAAGAGGCAAAAUAGUUGUGGAAUACCUCAUUUGGCAGUGUGGGCCUCUGGUCUGCUUUGUGGAUGGAAGAUAUGUUCUGAAGAGCAGUUUUUGAGACCAUGCCUUUAAAAAAUACUAAAGAAAGAGAGACAAGAUACCUAUAAGGAAUGGAAAAUUCAUACUUAAAAGAGGAGAGAUUUAAAGGAAACUUGGUGACAGCAGAGCUGAGCUGAAAGUGGAGGCGUUUAUGUGGAGGGUGGACGAAAAUGACAGAUAUUCUGCUUCAGCCUGGAAAAAAUGUGAAUGAUUUCCUACUGAAGGAUCAGGGUAUGCUAGUGAAAUUGGAACAGAUGGAGACAAUGUGUUUUUUGUUUGUAUGUGCAGAAGCUUUAGCAGAGUCUUCACAGAUCAUGGGAUGGACCCAAUCCAAGAACUUCUUCAGACAAAUGACGCUGGGUGACCAGCAUCAGAUGUUGCAGCUGAUGUGCAGGUUCCUUAUUUUUGCCCUUCCACAGAAGAGUGAUUUCUUCACAUGA